UGGGGAAUCUUGGACAAUGGGGGCAACCCUGAUCCAGCCAUGCCGCGUGAGUGAUGAAGGCCUUAGGGUCGUAAAGCUCUUUCGCCUGUGAAGAUAAUGACGGUAGCAGGUAAAGAAACCCCGGCUAACUCCGUGCCAGCAGCCGCGGUAAUACGGAGGGGGUUAGCGUUGUUCGGAAUUACUGGGCGUAAAGCGCACGUAGGCGGACCAGAAAGUUGGGGGUGAAAUCCCGGGGGCUCAACCCCGGAACUGCCUCCAAAACUAUUGGUCUAGAGUUCGAGAGAGGUGAGUGGAAUUCCAAGUGUAGAGGUGAAAUUCGUAGAUAUUUGGAGGAACACCAGUGGCGAAGGCGGCUCACUGGCUCGAUACUGACGCUGAGGUGCGAAAGUGUGGGGAGCAAACAGGAUUAGAUACCCUGGUAGUCCACACCGUAAAACGAUGAAUGCCAGUCGUCGGGUAGCAUGCUAUUCGGUGACA
rnacentral:rRNA from 1 species